UCCAACUUUGUCAAAUUUUGCAGGCAACGACCUACUUGUGCUAUUUAUUAAUUUUAAUUUAGCGAAUCGUAUGACGUUCUAGCCCAUGUACGCUGC